AAGCAUAUUGUUAACUUGGCUUAAAGCUGUCAUUGUCAAGUUGUUUUAGUUAUGAAACGCUUUUGUGUUCGUCUAGAGUAGAAACUUGUGAAAAAAAAGUCUUAAAGUUUUCUACAUGAUGUUAGAAGCAAAGUACAUCGAUUGGCGCCAAAGGCAAUUUGUUUUUGCACUCUUUCAGUUGUGGGCAACCUUAGAGGAAUGUCAAAGUUCGUGUAUGAUUUGCGGACUCCAAAGUCAACUCCUGCCGAACGGCAGCAAAGCUGGCCAACAACUGAGCUGCAGCGACAACAAAAUGAAAAUCGAAACGCAAACGGAAACGGAAACGAAACAAAAACAAGAGAGAGAGAGAGACAGAGCGAGAGAGAGAGAGAGGAAGUGGCAGCAAUGUUUCAAUGCCGCAACGUUUGCUCUUAAAAAAAGCUUAAGAGAACUCUGCGCCGGGCUCUUGCAAUGCCGCGCCGGCUGCAUGGCCAAGUUUUCGCACACUUUUGUCAACAAUUGGCCCUUCUUAAGCAUAUUUACACGCUUCGAGCAUCAAGAGACGACAAUAAACAAGCGGCGACCACUCCACACAUUGGCCGCUGUCAGCUCGCCAAAUUGAAUUAAUUGCUGCGUGUUGUCUGUGUUGGAUGCUGGCAUUAAAAACGCGAACGCGAAGGUGGGCGCAAUUUUGACGACCAUAAUGACAACAAUUAAAUAUAAAUCACCGACCAGCUACAUCUACAUCUGCGCAUCUUUUCGGCUUUCCGGCUCAGACUCAGACUCAGACUCAGACUCCGCCGCGACACACGCAUACAAUUAGCUUUAAUGGCCAUGGCCAUGGCCCCGGCGCACUUGGCGUAUGGUAAUUUGAAAAUAUGGUAAUUAUGAGGCGGCUGUAUAUCUGUAGAUAUUAAUUUUGUAUUUAUGUUUUGAGAAGGAGCAUGAAAUGGGCAGCGCUGUCUGCUCUAAUUAGGCGCUCAUAAAUCGCGCGCCACAAGAAAGCAACAAAUCCUAAAUAACAAUUAAAACAAUUUGCAAGAUUAAAAAAAAGAAAACAAAAAAA